rnacentral:rRNA from 1 species
UACGUGAGGGGCUAGCGUUGUCCGGAUUUAUUGGGUCGUAAAGAGCGUGUAGGCGGCCAAGUAGGUCCGGUGUGAAAACUCGAGGCUCACUUCGAGCUGUCGGUGGAAACUGUCUGGCUAGAGUCCGGAAGAGGAGAUGGAAUUCCUGGUGUAGCGGUGAAAUGCGCAGAUAUCAGGAAGAACACCCGUGGCGAAGGCGGUCUCUGGGACGGUACUGACGCUGGAGACGGACGAAAGCGUGGGGAGCGAACAGG